rnacentral:rRNA from 1 species
AGUGUACCCGCGGCAAGACGGAAAGACCCCGUGAACCUUUACUAUAGCUUGACACUGAACAUUGAGCCUUGAUGUGUAGGAUAGGUGGGAGGCUUUGAAGUGUGGACGCCAGUCUGCAUGGAGCCGACCUUGAAAUACCACCCUUUAAUGUUUGAUGUUCUAACGUUGACCCGUGAUCCGGGUUGCGGACAGUGUCUGGUGGGUAGUUUGACUGGGGCGGUCUCCUCCUAAAGAGUAACGGAGGAGCACGAAGGUUGGCUAAUCCUGGUCGGACAUCAGGAGGUUAGUGCAAUGGCAUAAGCCAGCUUGACUGCGAGCGUGACGGCGCGAGCAGGUGCGAAAGCAGGUC